UACGUAGGCAGCGAGCGUUGUUCGGAGUUACUGGGCGUAAAGGGCGCGUAGGCGGCGAUAUAAGUUGGAAGUGAAAUCCCAUCGGCUCAACCGUGGAAUAGCUCCCAGUACUGUAUCGCUCGAGGGGGAUAGGGGUCUGCGGAACUACCGGUGGAGCGGUGAAAUGUGUUGAUAUCGGUGGGAACGCCAGUGGCGAAAGCGGCAGACUUGACCCUUCCUGACGCUGAGUGCGCGAAAGCUAGGGGAGCAAACGGG
rnacentral:rRNA from 1 species